UAGACUGCACCCAAAACCGCAG
rnacentral:snRNA from 1 species